rnacentral:tRNA from 1 species
UUAGUUGAAACCAAAUUAGAGGUAUAUUACUGUUAAUAAUAUUAUUGAGAUAUUUCUCCAACUAAA